UCUCCGUUGGUGAACCAGCGGAGGGAUCAUUACCGAGUUUACAACUCCCAAACCCCUGUGAACAUACCAUUUGUUGCCUCGGCGGUGCCUGCUUCGGCAGCCCGCCAGAGGACCCAAACCCUUGAUUUUCUACAGUAUCUUCUGAGUAAAUGAUUAAAUAAAUCAAAACUUUCAACAACGGAUCUCUUGGUUCUG
rnacentral:misc_RNA from 1 species